UACGAAGGGGACUAGCGUUGUUCGGAAUCACUGGGCGUAAAGCGCACGUAGGCGGAUGUGUCAGUCAGGGGUGAAAUCCCGGGGCUCAACCUCGGAACUGCCUUUGAUACAGCACGUCUCGAGUCCGGAAGAGGUGGGUGGAAUUCCUAGUGUAGAGGUGAAAUUCGUAGAUAUUAGGAAGAACACCGGUGGCGAAGGCGGCCCACUGGUCCGGUACUGACGCUGAGACGCGAAAGCGUGGGGAGCAAACAGG
rnacentral:rRNA from 1 species